UUGGAACGUCCCUCCCAUGGGACAGUGAUCCUUCCGCAGUGUACACUUGUAGAAGCCUUAGCGGGUCCAAAAGACCGGUUCCGCGACUCAAAAUAAGAGAUGACCCCAUCCUCCACAUUGUGGGUGGGUGGCGCUAGUCGGUCCCAUGUCCAUGUUCUAUGUGAUGGGGCGCCGGCGACACUAUCGAAUUGCGGGGAUACCCUAAAGGGCGGCCGUACGAACCCCGAGGUGAAAGUCUCGGGCUGCGAUAGUUAACAGCUAUCGGAAACGUAAAAAUCGGUCGCCAUGAUCCCCUGCCCGAGCAGGGGGGAAAUGGGCAAUCCGCAGCCAAGGGCCUAAGGCCGUCUUCAAGGGCGGCUACGGUCAAGGUUCACAGACUAAGUGGUAGUGGGUGUGGUCUAUGUGGCCAUGCUUAAGAUAUAGUCGGGCCAUCAGGGAAACCUGAUGGGUAAGUACACUGCAUGUGGCAAGGGUUUUAACCCUUCCCUACGUCUUCUGACGUUCUGUAAACCGUUCCGUAGGUGAACCUGCGGAAGGAUCAUUAAAGAGUAAGGGUCAUUCGUGGCCCGACCUCCAACCCUUUGUUGUUAUAACUACCUCGUUGCUUUGGCGGGACCGCUCGGUCUCGAGCUGCCGGUCUUCGGCCCGGCAAGCGCCCGCCAGAGUCUACUCAAACUCUUGUUUUAACCGGUCGUCUGAGUUAAACUUUUAAUUAAAUUAAAACUUUCAACAACGGAUCUCUUGGUUCUCGCAUCGAUGAAGAACGCAGCGAAAUGCGAUAAGUAAUGUGAAUUGCAGAAUUCAGUGAAUCAUCGAAUCUUUGAACGCACAUUGCGCUCCCUGGUAUUCCGGGGAGCAUGCCUGUUCGAGCGUCAUUACACCACUCAAGCACCGCUUGGUAUUAGGCCGUCGUCUUCCGCAAGGUGGGCGUGCCUCAAACACCUCGGCGGAGCCUCACCGGCUUUGGGCGUAGUAGAAUUUCUCAACGUCUUGCAAGCACCGGUUUGACUCCUUUGCCGUUAAAACCCCAAUUUUUUAACAGGUUGACCUCGGAUCAGGUAGGGAUACCCGCUGAACUUAAGCAUAUCAAUAAGCGGAGGAAAAGAAACCAACAGGGAUUGCCCUAGUAACGGCGAGUGAAGCGGCAACAGCUCAAAUUUGAAAUCUGGCACUUGUGUCCGAGUUGUAAUUUGUAGAGGAUGCUUUUAGGCAGCCACCGGUCUAAGUUCCUUGGAACAGGACGUCAUAGAGGGUGAGAAUCCCGUAUGUGACCGGACAGGCACCUUCUGUAAAGCUCCUUCGACGAGUCGAGUUGUUUGGGAAUGCAGCUCUAAAUGGGAGGUAAAUUUCUUCUAAAGCUAAAUACCGGCGAGAGACCGAUAGCGCACAAGUAGAGUGAUCGAAAGAUGAAAAGCACUUUGGAAAGAGAGUUAAAAAGCACGUGAAAUUGUUGAAAGGGAAGCGCUUGCAAUCAGACUUGUCCUCGGGUGUUCCGCCGGUCUUCUGACCGGUCUACUCAUUCGGGGGCAGGCCAGCAUCACUUUCGGCGGCCGGAUAAAGGCAUUGGGAAUGUAGCUCAACCUUCGGGGGGAGUGUUAUAGCCCAGUGGUAAUACGGCCAGCCGGGAGUGAGGUCCGC
rnacentral:rRNA from 1 species